GCUGGGUAUAGAACAAAGUAGAGUCUUUCAGUUAAUGUAAAAUGAUUAAGGACCGAUAAGAAUUGAAAGAAUGUUGCAAUAUUAACAUGAUCUACAAAAGAAAUAUACUUUAGAGAGACAGCAGGUGUCCCCGUCGACAGAUAAUACCUUCAUAAAAAAGAAGACAGAGAGAGAAAGAGAGAAGAGAGGCUGCUAAAGCCAGUGCAACAUUACAGGGCUGGAUUCAAAGCUCCAGCAAGCGAGCAGUCCAGGUGAAGGCAGAGGCAGGCUCAGCGGGUGAGGGACAGCCCACUGAGCAUCAGGAGCCAAAUCAGACAGGUAC